CCCACUACUGAUUUUUCCCAUUUUAUUACAUUUAUACUGUGCCACGCUGGAAACAACAUUUGUACUUUUUUUUUUUUUUGGGCAGUUUACUGCCUUGAAACUUUAGCUGUGUAAGGGAUUUAUCAUUGUCACUUAUCAUUCCAGAGUACAUAAUUCAUUACCAAUUGCUUCAUUGCUUCAUUUUUCCAAAAUAUUUUAUUAUAAUAAUAAUAAAAUAAGAAAUAAUGGGUAGUUGUGUCUCCCCACAUCAAAAUUUAAAUUUUUUUGUUUUAUUAAAAUGAUUGAUUUGGAUGUGAGAUGUGACAACUCUCACACACACUACUCAAUAAAGCUAACCCUCUCAUCAACUUUAUCUAUUUAUUUAUAUUUUCCACUCUAAACAAAAACCAAAACCAUGUUACAUUUCUUUUUCACCUUUCUCUGCAAUCCCUUUGACUCUCUACAUCCCUCCCCCAAGAAACCUCAACCUCUUUGUUGAAACCAUGGAAGAUGCUCUCAGAGAGUCCAAACCUUACACUGAUAGACUCUUCUCUAGAGCUCGCCGUGUAUGGUCAUGGAUCUUAUCUUGGGUUCUUUGUGGACCAAGAAGAAGAACAAGAUUUUAUGGUUUUUCCCCGGUGUUUUCAUGAUUCUGGUGUUGAUUUGUCCGUCCCCAACCACGAAGGAAGUGCCGUUUGUGCUAUGUUACUGUUAACAGUAUAAAAGUAAAUAUUUUAGGUCUGAACAGUAUAAAAGAAAAAAAAAAGGCUUGGACAGUAAAAAAGAAAUAAUUGCCGUGUGGCAGUAUUAUUGUAAAAUUUGGGAAAAAAACAGUAUUUUUGUAA